rnacentral:pre_miRNA from 1 species
GUAGAGGAGAUGGUGCGCGAGGAGUGUGGGCUAAGGCUUGGGGGUUCCCAGAACCUUCGGACAUGUGUCGUCUUCUCCCUCCUCCAGG